rnacentral:rRNA from 1 species
CAGUAGCCGCGGGAACACAGAGGGUGCGAGCGUUAAUCGGAUUUACUGGGCGUAAAGCGUGCGUAGGCGGCUUUUUAAGUCGGAUGUGAAAUCCCUGAGCUUAACUUAGGAAUUGCAUUCGAUACUGGGAAGCUAGAGUAUGGGAGAGGAUGGUAGAAUUCCAGGUGUAGCGGUGAAAUGCGUAGAGAUCUGGAGGAAUACCGAUGGCGAAGGCAGCCAUCUGGCCUAAUACUGACGCUGAGGUACGAAAGCAUGGGGAGCAAACAGGAUUAGAUACCCGUGUAGUCCCUGUCUCUUAUAC